UUCCACGCUUGGUACGUUCCACCUGGAACAUCUACAUCAAAGAGCACAUGUUAGCUUGGGGUCAUUUAGCAGUUCUUUCUUCUAAACAGGGUGAUAGCCAGGUGAAACACGCAGUGGAAGUUUUUGUGGAAAGCUGCUGCCUGUUGCAGCUGGAAACAAGUUGAAGAGAGUGUGAGACUGAAUCAAAACAGUAAAGUGGUGUGCCAUAAAACCGAAACAGUGAGGUGAAAAAUGCUGAGGGAACUGCAAAGUCGGGUGCUGGGCAGUACUGGAAAUUGUUCCCCAAACAUCAGUACCAGAGAGGCAAAUGGCAAUUGAAACAACAACCCAGCCUGUCUCCAGCAGCCUACCUAGUUUUCAUUCCUCCGCCCCCCCACUGCUGUACACCAACAUCUCACUGGAAGAGUGAGUCUUUACUCUGUAUUCCUUCCUGCUGCCAAACAUAUUCUCAGAUAUUAAGACAAGGAAUGUACAUCUAGAGUUGUAUUCUCUAUGCUGCCCUGCAAUGAACAUUUUUCAUUACAAAA